rnacentral:rRNA from 1 species
GAUGAACGCUGGCGGCGUGCCUAAUACAUGCAAGUCGAGCGAACAGACGAGGAGCUUGCUCCUCUGACGUUAGCGGCGGACGGGUGAGUAACACGUGGAUAACCUACCUAUAAGACUGGGAUAACUUCGGGAAACCGGAGCUAAUACCGGAUAAUAUAUUGAACCGCAUGGUUCAAUAGUAAAAGACGGUUUUGCUGUCACUUAUAGAUGGAUCCGCGCCGCAUUAGCUAGUUGGUAAGGUAACGGCUUACCAAGGCGACGAUGCGUAGCCGACCUGAGAGGGUGAUCGGCCACACUGGAACUGAGACACGGUCCAGACUCCUACGGGAGGCAGCAGUAGGGAAUCUUCCGCAAUGGGCGAAAGCUUGACGGAGCAACGCCGCGUGAGUGAUGAAGGUCUUCGGAUCGUAAAACUCUGUUAUUAGGGAAGAACAAAUGUGUAAGUAACCAUGCACGUCUUGACGGUACCUAAUCAGAAAGCCACGGCUAACUACGUG